AUAAUAAUCCUUAUUUUAUAUGAUGAGAAUAACAGCUAACUCCCGCCUACUCAAAUCCACUUUGUAAACACAGCCACGUCCACACAGCCAUGUGCAUUUUCAAUGGUGAUCUUGUGAGAACGUGUCGCAAUUGAGUUUAAUGUGCAUUAUUUUAAGUUACUUCUAGUACUUUGGGCGUUUGAAAUAUUUUUGUUAUUUAAUAACACAAGAGAUGUCACGUGCCAAACGAAUCCUUGAUAUGGCCAUCGGCCAAACGGCAAAUGAAACCGAAGACUCAGAGCUCGGAGAAGACUCUGAGCAUAAUACUUGGGAGUAUUCUUUUGAGGAAAGCAGUGGUGUAGACUCAAUUCCCCUGUUGUUGGAGUUAAUAAUAAUAAUAAGAAUACUUACUAAAGGAUAGAAGACAAACCUCUGAAUAAAAUUGUGUGCCAUACAUGAGAGUGGAUGCGAUCUGAACUAAGAAGUGUAAUAACAGGACGAUCAUUGCCAUCAUGCCAGGAAACCAAUUUACAUUUUUUUUGCUUCUUGCAUAUACAAGGUAUUUCAUUAACAAUGGGACAAUCUUUGACUGAUUAAAGUAAUGCUGAUUGCCCCAAACAAAAGUUAUCAAAAUGUUAAUAAUUUGGGAUAUACAGGGUAUAAAAACUUAUAAUUUUAGUUACUUUUUUUUAUUGAAGUUGUACUUUAUAGGCUAUUGACUUGAAUUUUUGAUGCUUUAUAUUGAGAUAAACAAAUUUGUUAAUCUUGUUUAUGUUGUAAAAAUUAUUAACAUAUACUAUUUUUUUGCAGUGA